CCUCUGCGAGCCCGGGCGGCGGCUGAGGGAUGGGGGUGGGGAGCCUGGAGGAGGCUGAGGGGAGACAGCAGCGCUCUCUGCGGCUCCCUGACAGGGGCCUGUGGGGAGCUGGGGUCAGGCUCUGCUCCCAAGUGACAGCACAAGAGGGAACAGCCUCAAGUUGCCCCAGAGGGGGUUGAGGUUGGAGCUGAGGCAGAACUGUUUCCCUGAGGGAGUUUUGAGGGGAAAAGUGGGGUUUUGGUGGAGUUCUGAGGGUAAAAAUGAUGCAAUGAAUGACAGGGCAAGAGAGAACAGCCUCAGGUUGCCCCAGGAGAGGUUGAGGUUGGAGCUCAGGCAGAACUGUUUCCCUGAGAGGGGUGUCAGCCCCUGUGCCAGGCUGCCCAGGGAGCUGGGGCAGUGCCCAGCCCUGGAGGGAUCCCAAAGCCGUGGGGCUGAGGUGCUGAGGCUGUGGGUCAGUGCUGGGCUGGGCAGGGCUGGGACUGCAGCAGCUUCCAGGGCUUUAACAACCAGAAUGAUUCUGUGGUUUUAUGCCUGGGAGUGCAGCCAGAGCCUGUGUCCCUGUGUGUGCCUGAUGCAGCCCUCUCUGUCCUUCCCUGCUCUUGGAAAGGCCUCAAACACACUCCAGUCCUGCACAUCUCCACUCAAACUCUCUACAGUUGGGAAGGCUUUUUUGGUGCUUAUUUUUGACAAACAGUAAACUCACCCCCAAAAUGCCUCAUUUUUCAGGGGGAGCUGAGGUGCUGAGGCUGUGGGUCAGUGCUGGGCUGGGCAGGGUGAGGGCAGGGCUGGGACUGCAGCAGCUUCAAGGGCUUUGCCAACCCAAAUGAUUCUCUAAUUCUAACCUCAACAAUCACAGGCCUGUGUCUGUCUCCUCUUCCCAGAAUGAGACGUUGCAGUGUCUCGAAAGACCGACCCGAGCCUCGUGGCAGCUGCAGGAGGACAUCGGCGAGCUGCAGGACAAUUAUCUGGACCUGCAGAACGGGCUGAAGCAUCUCAGAGUAAAGAACCUUGACACAAACCAGUGGUUAGAAAUGGCCACUGAGAAGAACCAGAAGCUGGAGAAGCAGCUGGCCAAGCUGAGGAGGCACCAAGAGAAGCAAAGCCUGGCUGAGGAAAUAGAGAACAGCAGAGAGAACCAGAGCCUGACUGAGGUUGGAUGGGACUCUGCCCUUGGCCUGCUGCCACCCUCCUGCUGAACCCAGCCAGGCUGCCACUGGCCUUCUUGCCUACCUGGGCACGCUGCUGGCUCCUGUUCAGCCUCUGUUAAUUAACAUCCCCUAGGCCUUUCAAGCCACACAUCACAUGCUGGUUCAGCCAUGGCUGAAAUGCCCACGCCUGGAGAUCCCCCAGUAGCAGUGCACAGCUGUUUGCAGGGGCAGGAUUGUGCAAUCAGUGGUUGCAAAGGGUGACCUGUGCACACCCCACAGACCAGGCAGCAUGAGCAGGAUCCUCCCAGUGCCCUCUCUUCCAACCUCUGUAGGCAGAUGGUGUUUGUUAGGCCGGAGGAGAGCUAAAGAGGAAGAAACCAGGUAGCUAAAGCACCUGCCUGAUGUCCUCAUCCCACGAGUUCUCACUGAGAACAGCUCUGACAGACUCAAAGGCACAAAGCCAGGGGCUGCUGAGAGCCAGGGCAGCAGUGCUGCUCCACAAGCACUCAGCAUCUUGGCAAACAGCUUCUUUCCUGUCCUUUCACAGCUGCUUUUCUGUUUUCCCGUGAUUGCCAUUUCCCCUCAUGCCCAAGGGGCAUCACAUGAACCUGGGGAUGCAGGAGAGGAGCAGGAGAGAGGGGUUUCUUCACACCAAGGCUGAUGUUUUCAGAGCAAAGCUCAAUGCUACUGAACAAAACGGGGGAGGCAAACUGUUGCUGCCAAGUUCUUGGUAUUUCUGUAUCCCUGCAUUCACCAUAUGUGAUGCAUCUUGUUUUUUGAAGAGCAGGUGGGGAAUCAAACACUGCCUGGGACCUCAGCACCGAGGUGCUCCGUCCCUCAGGAGUGAAUCAGCCCUGGUGUGAUGGAGACAGAGCCAGCAGCACUUGCAACGCCUGUGCUUGGACUUUCCAGGGUUCUCAGAAGUGUUUGGCUUCCUUGAGGGCCACAGAGGGAAGCCUUGUUUGGUGGAUCUGUUUGUUCCAGCUCUGAGUCAGACGGUUUGCAGUCAUCAGCUUAACCUCAUCACUGCUGGGACACAACCACCACCCUGGGCCAGAAAUGAGGGAAGAAAUCAGCCAAGAGACACGGGACAAGCAGCAUGGUUUACCCUCUGGUUUUAUUCAGGAGGCUGCAGAGCUGUCAGGGCUGUGGUGUGCUCAUGCAAUGCUGCUUACAACCAGCGGUGGCUGCCGGUUUCGUUUUCACCGGGGUUGUGUUUCAUUCAAGCUCGGGGUGUGUGCUGAGGGCAGCUCUGCCGCACCGCACGGCCGCGGUGAGCGAAGGGCAGCGACAUCGAUAAAUAAAAGCCACCCAUGGUCAAGUUCAAAGGAUUUGAUUACCACUGCCUUGGCUCUCUUCCCCUGACCAGAACAAGAUGCUGCAGGGACAGCAGCAGGUCCCAGAGGAGCUGUUUCAACACGAUCCAUGUUUUAAAGCAGGAGAUGACUCAGCAGAGGCAAGAGUCUAUUUUUAAUCUUCUUUCUUCCAAGUUUUCCCCGUUGAGCUGAGGUUUUACAUGAAUCCUUUCAGUUAACCCCAAAACAACGUCUCCUUCUCUCUGCAAAGCCAUUCAUACCCCAGGAUCUCCUGCCAAAAAAGCAGCCUGGCUCUUCCCUGCUAAGGAAGAGCUGCCGGCAGCAAAGUAAACAAGUCGGCAAAGCACCUGACCACGAGCCCCGUUCAAAGGAACCGCACGGGGCCCUGUUUUCCCAUCUGACAGAAUCGGCCUUGAACCUGCAGCCCUGGGGGCUGUUAGAGCUGGGUGUCACAUGCACAGCAAGAAAAAGAGCCGAGUGGUGGCCUGAUCCUGCUCCCGUGGCACCCUGCCACACGAGAAAGCUCCUCUCGGAAGUUUAGAUGUGGGGAAAACCACGUAGUCUGGGGUAGGAAUGAAAAGGACACACUGGCUGAAGAAUGUCUCCCUGUGCUUUGGGAAAUCUGGGGGGAAACUCAGUGUAUAAACCCCCAAAACCAA